GAUUCUACAGUCUUUGUUGUGUUAGGUUCAUCUGAGCACAUUUCUAAAUCCAGGAUACAGGAUAUUGAGGGCGUGAUGACUACCUCAAACAGCGUCAAAUUCAUGAAACAGCGUCAUUCAUUCAAACUCUUUACACACCAAGGUCAGUGAUGAAGGGGGAGGACGUGCUCAAAGCACUGGAGCAGAAAUUCCUGUGCAGCCUAUAGAGAAACCCUCUGCAGCCCUUGUUGUACUACAUCAGAGAAUUCAUCCAUACUACUGACCAUGGAGGACCCCAACUUAACAGCAGGUGGAUAUGACCUCAAGCCACAGACUAUGGAGAGUACACACAGGAGCAGACAGAUGUUGAGGUCCCAUGGAGAACCUGUGGUGGAGCAGUCUGUACCUGAAGGAUUGAACCCUGUGGUGCAGACUUGUGUUGUAGACGUUCUUGAAGAACUGCUACCAGUGGAGAAGACCCAUUCUGGAGCAGUUAAUGAAUGACUUCUUCUGUGGGAGGACCUACACUCUGGAGUACAGGAAGAGUGUGAGGAAGCAGCAACAACAGAGAUGAAAUGUCAUAAAUUGAGUGCAACUCCCAGCCCCUGCACCUUUGUGCCACUCAGAGGAAGGAAGUCAAAGCAUCAGGAGAGAAGCUGAAUCCGGGAAGAGAGGGAGUUUUGCUUUUAUUUCUUACUGUCCUAACCUGUAAUUAAUUGAAAUUUAAUUAAAUUAACCUUUUCCAAGUCAA